rnacentral:lncRNA from 1 species
CUCAAAUGAUCGACAUAUGGUCUACUUCCAAUCUUUUGGAUUCAAAGUACUCCAGCGUUUCUUCCUCUCCAAGAAUUCCAGCUGACAAUUUUCCGAUUACAUUUUUUUCUAUAGUGACCUAAUUCAAUUCGGUCUUUUCAACGUAAUUUUCUUCGUCAUUGAAGAAACAGGGUAAUGUGCAAUUUCACUGGUUCCGGUGUUCCAGCUCAGACCCCCAGUCUGAAGCCCUUUUUCUCCUCUCAAAUGGUGCAUAUGUGAGCAACUGGUGAAAAGGGGCAGGCACUGGGCGGGUACGCGUCCCGCUUCCCUUCAGCCCAGGAAACAGGCCAGCCAGGGGUCUGCCAGUGGACACGUCCUGGGGACGUUGGGGGCCCGGACUGAGGAACCCACGACGUUCCUGAGUCGACCCGCCUGCACCCCGGCACCUCAAGGAAUGGGUAAUCAAAAGAUGUUUCCUUAGGAGGAGAGAACCCCCAGGGUAACCCAGCAAGGGAGCAUCGCGGCACACUAGCCGCCAGUCCAGGGACGUCGCAAAGACGCGCGCCUGCGCAGUGGCGCUUCGCGCCUCGCCAGCUUUCCUUCCCACGACCUCCCUUCCAGCGCCUGCGUACCAAGACCCGCUUCCCGCAGGCCUGCGAAGCUGGGGAUACCGGAUAGCUUUUCCUGCCGACUGAGGUGGGAACGAUAGGCUCGUACCUGACUCCACUGUCUCUCCCGUCCCAGCCUACCAGACUAACUAUACACGUUCCAUCGCAAGUCACCCUAGAACGGAGGGACUUGAUCCUUGAGGAGUUCAGGAAACUGGCAUGCGCCCACGUAUCCCGGAGGGGUGUGUGUGUGUGUGUGUGUGUGUGUGUGUGUUGGGGGCGGUCACCCAGCGGCUCCGCUUCAAACUACCGUGAGACGAGAGCUGCCUCUAGGGCCCAACCCCCUCGCUUGGGUCUGGGGCCCCGCGAGACAGUGGGCAGGGGUGGGGGCGCCGAGAGCGGGGGCGGGGUGCAGCGGCCGAGUGACAGUAAGCCUCACCUAUACCGGGCGCGGACCGCGGCGGAGUAGUGGGCCCGGCAGCCAAUGGAAAGCGGCGGGAGGCGGGGGGACCGGCCAGCGGGGAGGGGGCGCCCACGCGGGGGAACGCGAGGGGAGGAGGGGAUGUGCUCCUGAUCCGGUUCCAUCCGGUUCUCCCACUGCCCCUGUCGCGAGUCCCAGCAGCUCCGGAGCUGGAGAAGCGGCAGCUACCAGGCAGCCCAGCUUCGCGAAGGCUCUCGGCGCGCUGCGGCCCGCAGGCUUCCGGCACGCGCCCGCCCCGCUGCCACGAAGCCCGAGAGGAAGGUCAGCUCCGCCGAGGGGGCAGCGAAGGAGGAGCCCAAGAGGAGGUCGGCGAGGUUGUCAGCUGACUGCCGGAGUUCAUGUGCCCUCCUCGGCAUCAGAGAACAGGCCAGUGUAA